GCCUUGUAGCUCAACUGGUAGAGCAUGAGACUCCUAAAACUCAGGGCCGUGGGUUUGACCCCCACGUUGGGCA